rnacentral:rRNA from 1 species
GGAAGACUAACAGGAUUCCCCUAGUAACUGCGAGUGAAGCGGGAAAAGCUCAAAUUUAAAAUCUGGUGGUCUUUGGCCAUCCGAGUUGUAAUUUAGAGAAGCGUCUUCCGCGCUGGACCGUGCACAAGUCUCCUGGAAUGGAGCGUCAUAGAGGGUGAGAAUCCCGUCUUUGGCACGGAUGUACCAGGGCUUUUGUGAUGCGCUCUCGAAGAGUCGAGUUGUUUGGGAAUGCAGCUCAAAAUGGGUGGUGAACUCCAUCUAAAGCUAAAUAUUGGCGAGAGACCGAUAGCGAACAAGUACCGUGAGGGAAAGAUGAAAAGCACUUUGGAAAGAGAGUGAAACAGUACGUGAAAUUGUUGAAAGGGAAACGCUUGAAGUCAGUCACGUCGACCGAGACUCAGCCUUGCCUCGGCUUGGUGUAUUUCUCGGCUGACGGGUCAGCAUCAAUUUUGCCCCUUGGAUAAUGGCGAGGGAAAUGUGACACCUUUACGGUGUGUUAUAGUCUCUCGUCGCAUGCAAGGGUCGGGAUUGAGGAACUCAGCACGCGCCCUCGGGCGUCGGGGCUUUGCCCACGAUACGUGCUUAGGAUGUUGGCGUAAUGGCUUUAAACGACCCGUCUUGAAACACGGACCAAGGAGUCUAACAUGCCUGCGAGUGUUCGGGUGGAAAACCCGUGCGCGCAAUGAAAGUGAAAGUUGGGACCUCUGUCGUGGAGGGCACCGACGCCCGGACCAGACCUUCUGUGACGGUUCUGCGGUAGAGCAUGUAUGUUAGGACCCGAAAGAUGGUGAACUAUGCCUGAAUAGGGUGAAGCCAGAGGAAACUCUGGUGGAGCUCGUAGCGAUUCUGACGUGCAAAUCGAUCGUCAAAUUUGGGUAUAGGGGCGAAAGACUAAUCGAACCAUCUAGUAGCUGGUCCUGCGUGA